rnacentral:rRNA from 1 species
CAGCCGCCGCGGUAAUACGUAGGUGGCAAGCGUUGUCCGGAAUUAUUGGGCGUAAAGGGCUCGCAGGCGGUUUCUUAAGUCUGAUGUGAAAGCCCCCGGCUCAACCGGGGAGGGUCAUUGGAAACUGGGAAACUUGAGUGCAGAAGAGGAGAGUGGAAUUCCACGUGUAGCGGUGAAAUGCGUAGAGAUGUGGAGGAACACCAGUGGCGAAGGCGACUCUCUGGUCUGUAACUGACGCUGAGGAGCGAAAGCGUGGGGAGCGAACAGGAUUAGAUACACCCGUAGUCCCUGUCUCUUAUAC